rnacentral:rRNA from 1 species
GACGAACGCUGGCGGCGUGCUUAACACAUGCAAGUCGAGCGGAGCGGCGAACGGGGGAGUAACGCGUGAGUAACUGCCCCCCUCCCUGGGAUAACAGUUGGAAACGGCUGCUAAUACCGGAUAGUGGGGGAUGACUCGCGUCCUAUCAGCUUGUUGGUGGGGUAGUGGCCUACCAAGGCGACGACGGGUAGCCGGCCUGAGAGGGCGACCGGCCACCUUGGGCUGAGAUACGGCCCAAACACCUAGGGGAGGCAGCAGUGGGGGAUAUUGCACAAUGGGGGAAACCCUGAUGCAGCAACGCGCGUGCGGGAUGACGGCCUUCGGGUUGUAAGCCGCUUUCAGCCAUGACGGUGUGGUGACAGGAGAAGCACCGGCUAACUACGUGCCAGAGGACGCGGUAAUAC